AGCGAACGCUGGCGGCGUGCUUAACACAUGCAAGUCGAGCGAAGGUGUUUCAAGGGUAACCUUGAGAUACACUUAGCGGCGGACGGGUGAGUAAUACGUGGAUAACUUACCUCUAGGCCUGGGAUAACCCCGGGAAACUGGGGCUAAUACCUGAUAAGACCACAUUGUCUACGGACAAAGGGGUAAAAGGUGGCUGUGCAAACAGCUAUCGCCAAAAGAUAGGUUCACGUCCCAUCAGGCAGUUGGUGAGGUAAUGGCUCACCAAACCAAAGACGGGUAGCCGGCCUUGGCGGGUGAACGGCCACACGGGGACUGAGACACGGCCCCGACUCCUACGGGAGGCAGCAGUGGGGAAUAUUGGGCAAUGGGCGCAAGCCUGACCCAGCGACGUCGCGUUGGGGAAG
rnacentral:rRNA from 1 species